rnacentral:misc_RNA from 1 species
GAUGAAGAACGCAGCGAAAUGCGAUAAGUAGUGUGAAUUGCAGAAUUCAGUGAAUCAUCGAAUCUUUGAACGCACAUUGCGCCCCUUGGUAUUCCAUGGGGCAUGCCUGUUCGAGCGUCAUUUGUACCUUCAAGCUUUGCUUGGUGUUGGGUGUUUGUCUCGCCUUUGCGUGUAGACUCGCCUUAAAAUAAUUGGCAGCCGGCGUAUUGAUUUCGGAGCGCAGUACAUCUCGCGCUUUGCACUCAUAACGACAGCGUCCAAAAGUACAUUUUACACUCUUGACCUCGGAUCAGGUAGGGAUACCCGCUGAACUUAAGCAUAUCAAUAAGGAGGA